AACACUUCUUAAAAACUUAACAUAUGGUAAAGGCGAGGGUAAGACAAACUCUCAAAACAAGACUCCGCGCUAGCUAGUGCUUGAGAGAAGAAGGAUCAGAACCAGUAAGAGCAGGCAAAGACUGACAGUGAGAAUGAAGAACAUCCCUGUGGUUCUGAUGGGUUGUGGAGGAGUUGGGCGCCAACUUCUCCAACACAUUGUAACAUGCCGAUCCCUUCACGCCAACCAGGGAAUCCGGUUGAGAGUUGUAGGAGUUUGUGAUAGUAAAUCUUUAGUUGCUGCUCCUGAUGUUUACAGCAUGGAGUUAAGUGAUAAUCUAUUGCUGGAGGUUUGCCGGGUCAAGUUGGAUUCUUCUUCUUCUCUGUUGACUCUAAAUGGUUCUGGUGAAUGCCAGGUAUAUUCGAAUUCUGAAUUGACCAAGAAAAUAAUUGACAUUGCCGCUCUAUUGGGUAAAUCAACAGGUUUGGCUCUUGUUGAUUGCUCUGCCAGUUCGGAGACUAUUGGCGUGCUAAAUCGAGUGGUAGAUAUAGGAUGUUGUGCUGUCUUGGCAAAUAAGAAGCCUCUUACUUCUAAAAUGGAGGAUUACGACAAGCUUGUUUCACACCCUAGGUUCAUUCGGCACGAGUCAACUGUUGGUGCUGGCCUUCCUGUCAUAGCAUCCUUAAAUCGCUUACUUUCAUCUGGAGAUCCAGUGCACCGUAUUAUUGGGAGUUUGAGUGGCACACUGGGAUAUGUCAUGUCCGAAGUCGAAGAUGGAAAGCCCUUUAGCCAAGUUGUUAAAUCUGCUAAAAGCCUGGGCUACACCGAACCAGAUCCGCGAGAUGACCUUAGUGGGAUGGAUGUGGCAAGAAAGGCUUUAAUACUUGCUAGACUUCUUGGCCAGCGCCUGAACUUGGAUAGCAUAAAGAUUGAGAGCUUGUACCCGGAAGAAAUGAGACCUGGUGUGAUGUCUGCUGAAGAAUUUCUGGGCAGUGGGGUUUCAUUGCUAGAUAAAGAUAUUCAAGAAAGAGUACACAAGGCUUCCUUGAAUGGAAAUGUGCUGCGUUAUGUCUGUGUGAUUGAGGGCUCAAGAUGCGAAGUUGGCAUUCAAGAACUUCCAAAGGAUUCUGCUUUGGGAAGACUAAAAGGAAGUGACAAUGUGUUGGAGAUAUACAGCCGCUGCUAUUUCGAACAACCAUUGGUUAUUCAAGGUGCUGGAGCUGGGAAUGACACUACAGCAACUGGUGUCCUUGCUGAUAUUCUUGAUCUUCAGGAUUUAUUUCCUUGAAAGGCUUAUAUCUCCACUCCACUACAUUGGGGAAAAACCAGGUGCCAUUUUCGACAGGUCACAAACAUGAUAAGGUUCCUAGUGGACAGCUACAAUACACCUAUCCCAGCCAUACUUGAGAUCCCAUCCAAGGAUCAUCCAUACGACCAUGCUCAUGAUUCAGUUCUUUCUCGAGUCAAGUAUCUCUUUUCUGCUGAAUCUGUGGCCUUAGAUAGACGUUGAGAACUGCCGAUAUUCUCUUAGUGAGAUGGCAAAACAACAUAGCAGUCAGUCCUCAGGCUAAUAGAGUUUAUUAUCUACUUUGGCUCUUGUGCUUAAUAUUCAUGCUGAUAAAUCUUGAAUAACUAGCUUCUUUUUUCUGGAAAUUCAUUGAAGACGACAUCUUCUCUCCACUCCAAUCUAUGAGAAAAUGUCUGAUAAUAUCUAUAAAGAAUUAUGAACAAAAAUCUGAAGUGGAUAUCAAAUGGGGAUGGACUCAAGGAGCUUACUCCUUUCAUCACCAUAGCAUAAAUGAUUACUAUGUACUUAAUAUUCUUCUAUGCUAA